rnacentral:rRNA from 1 species
CCUACGGGUGGCUGCAGUGGGGAAUAUUGGACAAUGGGCGCAAGCCUGAUCCAGCAAUGCCGCGUGGAUGAAGAAGGUCUUCGGAUUGUAAAGUCCUUUCGACGGGGACGAUGAUGACGGUACCCGUAGAAGAAGCCCCGGCUAACUUCGUGCCAGCAGCCGCGGUAAUACGAAGGGGGCUAGCGUUGCUCGGAAUGACUGGGCGUAAAGGGCGCGUAGGCGGUUUGGUUAGUUAGGCGUGAAAUUCCUGGGCUCAACCUGGGGACUGCGCUUAAUACAGCCAGGCUAGAGUGUGGAAGAGGGUCGUGGAAUUCCCAGUGUAGAGGUGAAAUUCGUAGAUAUUGGGAAGAACACCGGUGGCGAAGGCGGCGACCUGGUCCAUUACUGACGCUGAGGCGCGAAAGCGUGGGGAGCAAACAGGAUUAGAUACCCGGGUAGUC